rnacentral:lncRNA from 1 species
GGAGAGAUGAAUAAUGGAUGUUGGCUGUUGGCUGUGCAUGGUCCUCUGCUGUGUGUGUCAGUGAUCCUGCCCACCUGGAGGGCUCCAGAAUAACAUUGCCCACUGGCUGAACAGAGUAGAACAGAACAGAAUGCAGCACAGCACAAGGUUAGGAGAGUGUCCAUUGUUGAAAAUGUUGCUUCACGUGAAUAAGUGCUGUCAAAAAACGAUGUCACCUUUUGCACACACUGCUUCAGAAGUGGAUACUCUGUGUCUGACACAAGGCGCCAGAAAUGGGUAACUCCUGAACUGUUCACCUUGCAAUGUCUAAUUUUCCUGCAGCUCCACUAGCUCCCUUUCUAUUCCAGCAUGGUCAGGACAGAGGGCUGUGAUGACUGCGAUCAGUGAUGCCACUGGCACAUGAAAGAGGUUCUCAAUGAAGUUGAAAAACUCCUUGUACUCCAUAUCCUUGAAUCUUGACUCAAACUCCAACUCUUCCAACACACGCACAAAUGCAUCAUAGCUAAAAUGUUGCAGUGUCUGGGUUGGAUGUUGUGACUGCUCUGAGUUUUGGGAAAUGAACAAAGUGUAUGUCAGGAGUGAGCAGUGUGGUUUUAUUUUGAGACCACAUGCAGCAUUUUGCCCAGAGUUUUAACUUUCCCUUGGAGCUGGAGAUUCAACAUGUUCAGGUGGCAGGUGAUGUCAGUUAAAAAAACUUUAAUAUCCACUGUGGAUCAUCCAGCUCUGGCUCCUCUCUCCCCUUGCUUGCAACAAAUUCAUGGAUUUAAGGGAGGAGAGAGAGAAAUCUUUCCAAAACUCUGCCAAGAGACAGCCAUCUCACCUCAUUGUGAAAUAUCAAGUCGCAUAUUCUGUCUAGUAUUCCUCCAGCAACUUGCGGAAUUGCCGGUGAUUCAGUGCCCUGACAAUAAUACUGUUAACAGGCGCAGACUUGCUGCAUCACAUUCUGUAAGUCAGUCUUUCAGUUUAGCCACAAGUGCUUCCUAAUGAAUGAUACAAUGAAACGUAACAAAUUCUGGAAUAUCCUCUCUCUUUCUUAUCAGGCCUAUGAGUUCCUUCUCCUUCCCUCGCAUGUUUGGGGCGCAGUCAAUAUUAUUACCAACAAAGUAUGUAACAAAGGCUUUCAGAAUAUCCUCUCCUCGUGUUUGUCCCUGAAAGGGCACUCAUUUUUAGGGAAGCAGACCCAAACACAUAAUCGGGCACUUACAUCAGUGCUUUCGUCAAGCACAAUACUAAAACACGGCGCCACGGAUAUGUCAGUAAUCAGUUGCUUACCGAUGUCCUCGCCGAUGUCUUCUAUGCGUCUUGUCGAGACAGAGUUGCUGUCCCUUAAUUUGCUUUAAAAUAGAUUCCUUACUUGUUAAAUCAGCAUACAAUAUUUCUGCUGAGGCCAAAACACAUUCUUUGACAAUCUCCGCGUCUGUGAAGGCCUAUUUGUUUCUUGCGAGUAUCCAAGCAAUAUCAUAUGUUGCUUCUGUCAUUUUCUCUGCAACAGUGCUAGAUCUGUCCAUCAUUUGCUGUUGUCCUUUGAGUUGUGCUAUUUUGUUGUUUCUGAGGUUGCUUUGUGGGGGACAUGUUUUGUCAAAGUGGGCAUGGUUUGACUGGAAAUGUCACUCUAAAUUUGCUUGUUUAAAAAAAUUGACUGCCUCCUGGCAAAUAAGAUAAAGUUAGUCCCAUCAUGCAAUACAAAAAAAUACUUGUCUGGCCAUUUCUCUUGGAACUUUCUGUUCUUCUUGAAUCGACCGUAUCCUUCUCUUAACCACCAGAGGCAUGUUAGCCACGUUAGCUACAUUAGCUAAGUUAGCUAGUGGCAUUUUCCUGCCGCCAUCUUCCUGAUUUUCCUGGUUCUCCGGUGGUUGUUCGUUCAUAGCUGUCACGUUGUUCUCCAGCUCUUCCCCCUCAUUUUCAUUGUCAAUAGAUUUACGUUUCUUUUUUACAAUAAAUCGAUCCAUGUGUAAUCGCUGUGGCUGUGCAGUUCUAUUUCGGCAAACAUACUAUUUCGGUCUUUCUGUUCAACAGCUGUGCUAUACUACCAUUUAUCUGCCAUCCAGGGAACAAUAUAUAUAUUCAGUGAAGUGAUUCAGGCCUGCAUUAAACACAUUGAAUUUAAAUUGUAUCAUUGUUAUGUAUUAUGAAUAGAAAAUAGGAAAAUCACAGCGACCCUGCGGGCUGCGCAAUGAGUACCGUUGACAUAGGCGUAUCUCAGGAUAUCUAAUGAGUCCAUUUCCAGCCAUAUUAAGUAUCAUAUCCCAAGCCUUUUUUUAUAUUUAAAUAUACUUAAUGGUUUAUCAUAC